UUCAUUUAGAUUAAAACAAAUAACAGAAAAAAAUGUAUGUAUGUAAGCCAGUCUAGCUGGCUUCUGGAGCUGGGUAGGGUCCGCCCUCCUAUCUCCAAGAUGAAUUGUACUGAAUGUUCCUGGUUCUUGUAACAAGAAGUCUGUGCUACGCUGUGUCCCUGUGAACCAAUAAACCUUCUGUUCUACUUGCUGGCUGAAAGUCACAUCUGACUGCAGAUGGGUGUGCAAGACCCGAUGACUGCCCCACACUCCGUGACAGGCAAUGAAGUGAAGGAGUCUGUGCCAAGAAGAUUUAUAAACUCCCAUCUAAAACAGGUGAACUGGGACCUUAACUCAACACGAUGCUGGCUGGUAUCCAAUGAUUGCACAACUAAACUGAUAACACAUCUCUGCCACUGGCCUUAUUACAUUCUCCAGUAGAAACAACUGAAUUGCAGACAAGCCAAGACAGCUGCAAGAGGGGCAGUUGACACCACCUGGGGCAGUCUCCUAACCCCAAGUAACCCUCAUGCACAGGAGACUAAUGGAUGAAUUCCAGAGGGAACACCUCACAGCACUCCCAUCCAUGGAGAAGACUUUGGACUGCAGACUGCAGGGAGACACCUGGUGGGAGAUAUUGAAGCAGGGCUGCGCCACAUGCACGGUGGAGCAUUCUCUGAUCACCUGCUCCUGCUCCUCUCCCAACUUCCUCUGGGACCACCGAAGCCCCCUGCACACAUAGAAGUAGGAUCACCAGGCGCCAAUCCCAGCCCCAGCCCUGAGCCUCUCCUCACCCCUCUUCUCCUUUCCAAAGGUUCUCAUCCCCCCUCCGCUGCCUCCCUUCUCCCAGAUUUUUUCAUCAGUCGCU